rnacentral:rRNA from 1 species
GAUGAACGCUGGCGGCGUGCUUAACACAUGCAAGUCGAACGGAAAGGCCCAAGCUUGCUUGGGUACUCGAGUGGUGAACGGGUGAGUAACACGUGGGUGAUCUGCCCUGCACUUCGGGAUAAGCCUGGGAAACUGGGUCUAAUACCGGAUAGGACGAUGGUUUGGAUGCCAUUGUGGAAAGUUUUUUCGGUGUGGGAUGAGCUCGCGGCCUAUCAGCUUGUUGGUGGGGUAAUGGCCUACCAAGGCGUCGACGGGUAGCCGGCCUGAGAGGGUGUACGGCCACAUUGGGACUGAGAUACGGCCCAGACUCCUACGGGAGGCAGCAGUGGGGAAUAUUGCACAAUGGGCGCAAGCCUGAUGCAGCGACGCCGCGUGGGGGAUGACGGCCUUCGGGUUGUAAACUCCUUUCGCUAGGGACGAAGCGUUUUUGUGACGGUACCUGGAGAAGAAGCACCGGCUAACUACGUG